GCUAUAAAACAGGCCUUCUUAACCUGUGGUCCAUGGACCAGUUUGGGGUCCGUGGAUGGAAUUCAGGGAGUCCGUGAACCAGGCGCAAAAAAAUUCGUUU